CCUACGGGAGGCAGCAGUAAGGAAUAUUGGACAAUGCUCGCAAGAGUGAUCCAGCCAUGCCGCGUGCAGGAAGAAUGCCCUAUGGGUAGUAAACUGCUUUUGAACUAGAGAAAACCCCAGUACGUGUACUGGGCUGAUAGUAUAGUUAGAAUAAGCAUCGGCUAACUUCGUGCCAGCAGCCGCGGUAAGACGAAGGAUGCAAGCGUUAUCCGGAUUCAUUGGGUUUAAAGGGAGCGUAGGUGGACUGAUAAGUCAGUGGUGAAAUCUCCGAGCUUAACUCGGAAAUUGCCAUUGAUACUGUUGGUCUUGAGUACAGUUGCUGUGGGCGGAAUAUGACAUGUAGUGGUGAAAUACAUAGAGAUGUCAUAGAACACCGAUUGCGAAGGCAGCUCACAAAGCUGUAACUGACACUGAGGCUCGAAAGUGCGGGGAUCAAACAGGAUUAGAUACCCUGGUAGUCCGCACCGUAAACGAUGAUUACUCGCUGCUAGGGGGCAACCUUUAGUGGCUUAGCGAAAGCGAUAAGAAUCCACCUGGGGAGUACGCCGGCAACGGUGAAACUUAAAUGAAAUUGACCGGNGNGAGAGNGCGAGACGACACGAGGGAGGAG
rnacentral:rRNA from 1 species